rnacentral:rRNA from 1 species
GGACUACCCGGGUAUCUAAUCCCGUUCGCUACCCUGGCUUUCGUGUGUGAGCGUCAGGAACGCGCCAGUAGAGUGCCUUCGCCUUUGGUGUUCCCCACGAUAUCAACGGAUUUCACCCCUCCACCGUGAGUUCCCUCUACCUCUCGCGCCCUCGAGCCCUGCCGUUUCCCUUGCGGACCGUAGGUUAAGCCCACGGAUUUUACAAGAGACUAACAGGGCCGCCUGGACACCCUUUACGCCCAGUGAUUCCGGAUAAUGCUCGGGGCCUCUGUAUUACCGCGGCGGCUGGCAC